AUUUAUAUAGUUUAAAUAAAACAUUACAUUUUCACUGUAAAAAUAUUAACUUUAAUUAUAAAUA
rnacentral:tRNA from 1 species